GGCUCAGUUGCCAGGCUGCAGAGAAUCCAGUCACCAAUCUAUGCAGGCCCACACGUUGCCUGAGGGCUUGUUGUUGGGUGUGGCCAGUCUCUAGGGUGGGCUGCCUGCCCUGGCUGAGCUGGAUUAAAUCGGUUCUCUAGCGGGUGGGGCAGACCCUGGGCUAGCAGGCCUCAGGGAGAACUCCAAUGGCGUCUGUGUCAGCACGCUCGCACCAGGCCACAACAAUGGCCGCCGCCAAUGUCCCAGUCCCUGGAGAGGUCUCACCCCUCACCGAGAUGCACUCAGGGCCUAUUAGGACAAGUAAGCUGAAGAUUGGAUUUGGCAAUGAGGUGGUCAUUGGUCAUCUUGACAAAAGCGGUUUUCAAAGAUGUGUUGGGAAGAAAACUUCAUUAGUGUGGUUUCAAGAGAGAAUGGGAGGAGAGGAAGUUUGGACGGAUUACAUUUCCAUGGACAUCUUCCAGAGCUUAUUCACAGGAGACUUAAGCAGAGGUCAAGCUGGCUUUUCUAAGUAACUUUCUGGAAGAGAAGAGCAUAAUUGCCCCCUUCCAGGAAACUGGUAUUCAUCAAGAAAGGUUUGCUUUUCGUGUCAUCCCUGGUGGACAUCAGUGGAUUCAUCAGGAUGCUGCUCAGGAUCUCUCCAAUUCUGUGUUUUUCGCUUCCAUCUGUGACUUUCUUUGAAUUGCGUUUUUCCUGAUUGAUCUGACUAAAGGGUAGUUAAGGGAGGAAGGCACUCCAGAAGCCAGUGUGAUGGUGGCACUAGUACCAGAGUGAGAGACCCUCAAGAAGAAGAUCAAAUUCAGAGGAACAGAGUCAGAUGACUUGGUGAGGAAGAUUGCCCUGAGCUAACAUCCGUUGCCAAUCUUCCUCUUUUUAUGCUUGAGGAAGAUUAGUCCUGAGCUAACCUCGGUGCCAUCUCCCUCUGCCUUGCACGUGGGAUGUCUCCACAUCAUGGCUGAUGAGUGGCGAAAGUCCACGCCUGGGAUCCGGGCCUGUGAACCUGGGCUGCCGAAGCAGAAUGCAGGAACUUGUACCACUCGGCCACGGGGUCGGCCUCUAUUAGGACCUAUUUUUACAGUACAUCUUGGAUAACUGGCCCUCCGUCAUGCAUCUCUUUUAUAUUCCUGGGCAAAGGCACUCCACUUAGGUUAUAAUCCACCAGCUCUGGGAGUUUAAAUAGGGAAGAAGUAUAGGAGUGACUGAUGGCAUAUGGUUGGUGGGAAUAUAAUUUCACUCUAGCAGGACAUUUUUCUGCCUUGAUGAUACCUGAACUCUUGUGGAUUUUUUGGUGAUGGGGCAGAGGAUGACUAACAGAAGAACAGAAUGCUAAAGCUCUCCCCAAACCAAUCCUUAAUGCUGAGACAUAGUAGCCUUUGCCCCAGACUGCUGCCACCCUAUACACUGGCUUCCACAGCCUUCUCACCAGGAGGUUCCUCAUUGUUUUUAUGUUAGUUAUUCACACCCAUGGUUCUCUCUCAAGUCUGUAGUUUCUCCAAGGUUGAUUUUGGGGAAAGGAGCUCACACUCUGUGCUUGAUAUGUCAUCUUGUUAUGAAGCCACAGACAUAUUUUAUGAAUAUAUUCAUAAGAAUGGUAGUACAGAGAUAUUUUGAAAAGAAUUACCCAUUAAAAACUACUUGAGGGCCGGCCCCGUGGCUUAGCGGUUAAGUGCACGCACUCCGCUGCUAGCGGCCCGGGUUCGGAUCCCAGGCGCGCACCAACGCACCACUUCGCUGGCCACGCUGAGGCCGCGUCCCACAUACAGCAACUAGAAGGAUGUGCAGCUAUGACAUACAACUAUCUACUGGGGCUUUGGGGGAAAAAAUAAAUAAAUAAAAUUAAAACAAACAAACAAAACACUACUUGAAACUCCCAAACAAGGUGACCUUGGAAAAUCAUAUAAUAGGAUUGUUAGAAAAGCCAAAAUGUUUCACACCUGCACCCAAUACUUUCUUCACAACCAAAUCAACCACCCCACAGUACUCCUACAUCUUGGAAGAUAGUUUCCCAUGUUAAUUUGGUUAGUUUUCCCAUGUUUUCUUUCUCCCUUUAAGGAUUUCUGUGCAUCCCUUUCUUUAUGAUACCCCUGUGGCUCAGUAUUUUUUUGAAGCUCAUUCUCGAUACCAUGCCAGUCUCUGCUCACUAUGGGCGGUUCAGCUUCCCAGGUGGUGGGCUGUUUAGCGGGUUGAGAUUGCUUUCUCCUACUAUCAGCAGGCAGCAGUAUUAACAGCAUUAAUCCCCAAACCCCGUUCAUUUACCUUAAUGACACCCUCCUGCACUCAUGCACUCACAUGUGUUAAUGGAUGGCAUAAGGGGACAUCUAGGCUGUCCUUACCUCCUCCAUUAAGUGACCCACUUAACUGAAGACCAGAGUCUUUGUUUCUUUACUGCUUUUCAGAGGAAUGACUCUUGCCAGUAUUUCUAGAAUAAACUCUUGCGGCCCCUCC